ensembl:rRNA 5S_rRNA 5S ribosomal RNA
CUCCCUACCACCCCGAACACCUGAACACACCCAAUCUCAUCUGAUCUCAGAAGCUAAGCAGGGUCGGGCCUGGUUAGUACUUGGAUUGGAGAUAUGACUUGCAUGCAUCUUUACUCACUGUGAGAGUUGGAAGAGU